AUGAAGUACACAGCAAAAUUAGAAUCUUGUUUCCAGUUAAAAAAAGGUUUUCUUUAACUGUCAGUCUGCUCUUAAUGUUGAAAGAUUGCAAAAAGUUCUCUAAUUGUUUUAUCAAAGCAGUUUCUCAUGCUUAAAGUCUCAGUGAGUUGCCAGAAUAUUUUUAAAAAAUGAAAUCUUAAUAUUAAAAAGACUAAAAGCUAAAUUUGGUAAAUGACUAUCUUUAUAAGCAGAAUUGAAACAUCCUUCUCUCUACCUGAUCCCUACAGAGUUUAAAAACUUUCAGUGACUAUUUUUGUAUUCCAUGGCAGUAUGUUUAUUUGCAUGAGUUCAAUAAGAAUCUGCUUUCCUUGUGAAAAGACUAAUUAAGAACACUGGUUAUACUGCCAGGGCUUUGACUGGAAUGUCAUACCUGAAAGACAUGUGCAUGGACUCAGAUGUGAACAACUUUAAGGAACUAAGAUUGACUUUAUAAAGCCAACAAAGCCCCUUGGAAGAACUGGCCUGGUACCUUGCUUACAGAGUUCCCAGCAGCCUUACCAGGUGAGUAAGGAAGGUCACUUCCUGGCAGGUGCAGAGACCUCGAGAAGAGAGGAAUUCAUCCAAAUCUACAGGUACUGCAGGCAAAGCCUGAUGGCAAGUCUGGCUUGGCUGUCUGGCCUCAAGAGGCCUUUAAAAGUUCAAUCUGAAAUUCCUUACAAAAAGUUCCAGCAAAGCAUAUUUAAAAGAGCCUGUGUAAUCAAUUGCUCUUCUUGCUGCACUUGUGCAAAUAAUCAAGCCAGCUGUUAAUUAUUUUCUUAACCUGGUUACUUCUAAUAAAAAUGAGGGUGAUUUUAGAGAAAAGUAUUGUUUCAAUAACGCAGCCUCCUUCCAGAAUAGAAAAUCCAACUCCAGAUGUUGCUACAUAACCUAAUAACACAAUUUGUUUUAUCUUGCCUAGAAGCCACAAAACUGCAAAUAGUAAUAGAAAUGAAACCCAGAAUAGAAGCGCCAGCCUUCUGAAGCCCUCUCAACUGACCAGUGAUGGUGACCUAGCUGCACCCUUUACUGCGCCCCCUUCUCAGCACGAAGCAGCCAGAGCGGUCAUUGCCCCUUUUCCCUAGCAGCAGCUAGGGUCUCUAUCUAUAGA